UACCAGCACCCCGAGUGGUCGGGACGAUUAUUGGGCCUAAAGCAUCCGUAGCCGGUUCUACAAGUCUUCCGUUAAAUCCACCUGCUUAACAGAUGGGCUGCGGAGGAUACUAUAGAGCUAGGAGGCGGGAGAGGCAAGCGGUACUUAGUGGGUAGGGGUAAAAUCCGUUGAUCCAUUGAAGACCACCAGUGGCGAAGGCGGCUUGCCAGAACGCACUCGACGGUGAGGGAUGAAAGCUGGGGGA
rnacentral:rRNA from 1 species